GCUCCCCGCGGCUCCACUGCGGCGGCUCCACUGCGGCCGCCCCACCAGGCCCUCCGGCUCCUCUCUCAGAGGGUGGCCGUGGCCUGUGUCCCUCAGCCCGUGUCCCAGGGCCUGGCCAUCCUGGCUCCGUGUGGCAAUGGCAACUGGGCUCAGAGGCCAACCGACCCGGCACAGGGCCCAGCCCAGGCCCUCUGGGAGACGUUCAAAAAAGGAAAAGAAGGAACCGUGAAACCUCGCAGAGUCAGGUGCCCAGCAUGCCACAGGCAUGAACAUUUAAGAUGCAGAGAGGCUUCCCUGGUGGUGCAGUGGUUAAGAAUCCUCCUGCCAAUGCAGGGCACACGGGUUUGAGCCCUGGUCCGGGAAGAUCCCACACGCCACGGAGCAACUAAGCCCGUGCGCCACAGCUACUGAGCCUGUGCUCUAGAGCCCAUGAGCCACAACUACCGAGCCCGCGAGCCACAACUACUGAAGCCCGUGCGCCUACAGCCUGUGCUCGGCAACAAGAGAAGCAACCGCGAUGAGAAGCCCGCGCAUCGCAACGAAGAGUAGCCCCCGCUCGCUGCAACUAGAGAAAAGCCCGCGCGCAGCAACAAAGACCCAAUGCAGCCAAAAAUAAAUAAAUAAAAUAAAUAAAUUUUUUUAAAAAAUAAGGAAAAGAAGGACUUCCCUGGUGGUCCAGUGGUUAAGAGUCUGCGCUUCCACUGCAGGGGGCGUGGGUUCGAUCUCUGGUUGGGGAAAUUCCGCAUGCUGCGAAGUGAGGCAAAAAAAAAAAAAAAAAGAUAAAGAAGAUCUGGUCUUGAUUCAGAGGAGAGGAGCCCUCAAGACCAGCUCCACGCAAUAAAAAGUGAAUUCACAUGAGUGACAGUAACAAGAAACAGGUGGCUCAGUUCUCAGCGGCGAGGAGGGGCCCUACGGGUGGUGCCGCUGUGGACCCUUGCUGGGGUUCGGGAGCCUGUUAGAAAUGCAGAACGCCAACCAAAGACUCACUGGCCACCCUGGUGAUCCCAGGGCACCUUUGCGUUCCCAAGCCUGGGGCCGGAGGCCUCUUGGUGGUGGGGAGAUAUACCCAGGAAAUGCCUUUUUUAAAAAAAAUACAUAUUUUAACAUUUUAAUUGUUAAAUGUAGCAUGCAGAAAAGAGCACAGACUUGUCAUGGUCCUUUUUUUUAAUAUGUUUAUUCAAUGUUCUAAAUAAAGAAAGAUUAAACUUAAAAAUCACUAAAAAAAAAUCACUGUCAUGAACGUUACCCUUUAUUAUAAUAUUGUGCAGGGCAAGUUUUAAAGCAGAUAUAAGGGCGGUGACCUCACUGCAGACGCCGAAGCCACACAGUAUUUUGUAGCUCGUGGGGGUGUAUUUCGUUCCUACCUGAGUGGUGAAACGCUGCACCAAACUAACUCAGUUGUUUUUAUUUUUCAUUGUGGUAAAAUAUACGUAACAUAAAAUUUGCCGUUUAACCACUGAGUAUACAGCUCAGGGGCAUUAAGCACACCCACCUUGGGGCUUCCCUGGUGGCGCAGUGGUUAAGAAUCCGCCUGCCAAUGCAGGUAACACAGGUUCAAGCCCUGGUCUGGGAAGAUCCCACAUGCAGCGGAGCAACUAAGCCCGUGUGCCACAACUACUGA